CGGUUCUCUAGGGCAGAAGUCAACACGGGUCUCACUGGCUGAAAUCAGGGCGUCAGUGAGGCUGUGUCCCCUCCGGAGGCCCUGGGGGAGGAUCUGUUUUCUCGCCUUUUCCCACUUGGAGAGGCCACCGGCAUUCCUUGGUUCAUGGCCCCCUCCCUCCACCUUGACAGAUGGCAUUUUGUCCCCUUGCCCUUCUGCCAUGGUUACAGCUCUCUCUGCCCCCAGCCAGGAAAGCUGCUGCACUUUGGAGGCCUCAUGUGGUUAGAUCGGGCCCAUUUGGAUAAUCCAAGCUGAUUUCUGCAUUUUAAGGCCCUUAACAUUAAUCACAUCCCUUAUGCUAUGCAAGUGCUUUGGAAUCGAACCCGCCAUAUCUCCAAGGUCUACCUGUGUGUGUUUUGGAGAUAUUUUCCCCAGGCUGAGUUUGCCUUUCCAUUUAAUCAUCAGAGCCUUUUGAGAGCAGAAGAUUUUGAUUUUGAUGAAGUCCGACUUAUACAUGUUCUCUGUUUAUUAUUUGUACUUUUUGUGUCCUAAUAAAAGCUUUUCUUCUAGAA